CAGGGGCUCCUUUGGUCCUAAGGGACAGAGACUCACUCCCAACUCCGGGGAAAAGGUAGAUAGCAGGAAGCCUCAGAGAAGCCCCAGAGCGGGGAUCCAGGCAGGCAUCCCAGAAACCAGGAUUGGAACUGGGAAACCUCAUCUCUAAGCUUUCUCUCUCAGCAUCUCUGCUCCUUGCACCUCUGCUCCGUUGUCUUCUGUUGACCGUUGCACUUCCUGGGUUACUCACGGUUUCUGCUUUCCCGUAACUUCUCCUCGUGUGAGGGCCCAAGAACAAUCUCCACCCUAACGCCGCCUGAACUUCCACCUUCCGGGAUCACCACCAGCUGCCUUCUUCCCUCUGUGCCACUUGAUUCCAAUUUCCGAGACAGAGUCUGAGUGGCUCUGCUCAUCCUUUUGAUCCGGGUCAGGCAAAUGCUAGGCCAAGGGCCAGGCCACGGAUGAGGGUUGAGGCUGGUCCACAGCUAGGGAAUUUGGCCAUGUGAGGUAGCUGGGUUCUGAUCAGGGAGUCUCCUUGCAGACCUGAAAUAUGUGUCAUAUAGUAGGCCAGAGGGGAAAGGAUAAAUUUAAAAUUUAUGACGCAAUAAAAUCAGCUUUAUUAGGUAAUUGUCUGAAUGUGGGAGGUGAGUGGAGUGGAGGUAAGCAUGACCGGCAGGGGCCGGCUCGGGUAACUGGAUGAUCUCUCAGCUGCGCUUUCCUCCAUGUUGGUGCUGUUUCUUGGUUCUCAGGAAGCUUCACUUAAUUCAGUCAGGGUCUCAGCAGAAAACGGAUGGCUGUCUCACACUGGGAAACGUGAGGAGGGUUUAACAAGAGGACGGAGGAACAUGGUAUAAGGUAGCACAAGGGACAGUGCAGCACCCUGGGGCUAGAAACAGCGGUGUGCUGUGCAGCCCUGAGCCUGGAGGGGAAGGGGAGGGGCAGUUUUUAGAAUCCAGAAAGGGAGACCUGCCUGACCCGAGUUGUGGUCUUAUUUUUAUUUUUUUUCCUUCUCCCCAAAGCCCCCCAAUACGUAGUUGUAUAUUUUAGUUGUGGGUCCUUCUGUUUGUGGCAUGUGGGAUGCCGCCUCAGCAUGGCCGGACAAGCGGCGCCACAUCCACGCCCAGGAUCCGAACCUGCGAACCCAUGGGCCACCAAAGCGGAGUGGGAACUUAACCACUCGGCCACGGGGCCACCCCCGAGCUUUGGUCUUUAGUGGGGACACAGUCAGCCUGUGGCAACAUCCCAGUAAGGAAGCUGGGGGGAAAAACAAACCCUGACCUGGCUCUUCUUCCUCCCUCUGAAACCCUGCCCUGGCUCUCCAAGUGCCAACCCCAACAGGAAGACAGAGAUCAAGGAAGCCCAUUGAUGUAUUCUACGUAGUCAGUCCUCUCACUAAUCAGAGCUGGAAGGGGCCACUACUUGCCGAUAACCUCUACGUAAAAAACCACAGAAUUGAAAUGCAAUUGUUCUAAUUUGCCUUGGGUAGGUCAAGUCUCCAUCUCUGCACCAAUCACUGUAGCAGAAGGUGAUAGGGCGCUCUGACUGGCUAAGAAAGAAGCUGAGGGCAGAGUCGGCUCUGAUUCAACGUCUCAGCUAAGACCCGGAAAGCAAAUCUCCUAGGAAAAUCACUGUGUUGUUAACUGACCAGAUAAAAAGAACAGAUGUCCCCUACUGCCCAUAACGGGGCUCGUCGAGGACUUUUGAGUGGGGGUUUGCUGUUUCUGCUGGACGCAUUGGAGGGAAGAGACCAGAGUGCACUGGUGAAUGGGUCAGCCCAGCCAUAAGGGAUGGAGCUGCCUCUCUCCAGGCCUCAGUUUCCUAGCAGGGACGAAUCUUAACCUUCUGAGGCUAUAGCGCUCACCAGCAAGUUGUUAACAAACAAGUCCAGCCUUCUCAUCAAGAGCGCAGACCCCGCGUCGCCAGUAAAGACCACCCAGCCUUGUUUUCUGAAAUCUUUCCUUACAGUUCGACCUAGACGAGACCUCUCUGGACCCACUGAAGUUUGCUGGAAGGUGCCACCUAGUGGAACAUCAGAUGACCUGCCGCUUAGACAAAAAGAAACCUCAGGAAGGUUUUACAACGGAAAGCCGUCCAGCAGUGGUUCCCUCAAACUUGGCUGCAGCCACCCGGGGAUGGUGGAGUCCCUACCCUCCGAGGAUCUGAACCGGAGAAAUCCCGGGCCACCGAAGGGGAGCUCGGGAACUGAACCACUAGGCCACCAGCCAGCCUGCAUCCAGAGUUUUAAAAGACUAGGAGCUGAAAUGCCACUAAAUGCGCACACUGGCCUAAACCACCUGAGUGGUGUUCCGUGUCUGGCUCCCUUUCUCCCAUCCUACCCUGCAAGAUUGGGUCCGGUUCCAGAAUUUUGGAAUUAAAAAAGACCUCAAAGAGCAUCUGGUUCAACUGCUUUAUUUAACGCAACCAUAAUCUAUGUUUACCUAGACAUCUCUAAUUCCUGCUACCACAUGCACUCAUGGACUCAUACAUCAUAAACCUGAUGAGAAUUUGAGCAACCUGCCUGAAGCCACAGAGGAAAUUAAGGGCAAAGUCUGCACUGAUCCAGGCUGAUUAGAGCCAGUUGGGGAAAUUUCAGCUCCAGGACUUUUGUUCUCUUCCUCUAUAGUAGAAGUCUGAGCCUUGUUAAAUGGCCAACCUGGUAGAGAUAGCAAUUUGGGUCGUUGACGCCAGUGUUAAUGAGUUUCCUGAGUGCAGGUUUUAAAGAGGAUCAUCCUGGCUGUGGCUUUCUUUAAUCUGAGUCUCAUUUGCAAAGGAGGAAGAGAAAAUCACCUACCCCACAGGUAACUUUGAGCAUUAAAAGAGGUAGUGCACGUGAAGGGUUUCACAUGGUGACUGGCAUAGAGUAAGCAUUCAAUAAAAGGUAAGCAUUACUGGGACAGAAAUCCACAUAAAGAUAGCAGCUCCUUGUGGAGGAGUUUUGGAGGACUUCAUGGAGGAGGUGGCAGUUCAACUAGACCUCGAAGGAUCAACAAGAUUUCCACGGCCACAGAGGGGAAGGGGAGGGGGCUUUCUGGGUGGAAGGAACUACGUAGUCUACAGCACAUGAAGGAAAACAGCCGGCAACCAGGCAGGGCAGAGAGGAGGAGAGAAUGUUUGAUCAGCCCCAGGAGGUUACAGCGAGAAAUGUGGACCCUAUAGCCGAGGUGAUGGGAGCUUUGAAGGUUUUGCAGCAAAUCUCAAGAUCCCAGCUGUGAUUUCAGAAAAUUGAAUCCCCACCGCUGGAAGAACUGGGAGGCAGGAGUCAUGGGGACGAGGGCUGAGCUAGAGAAGCAGAGAGUCAAGAGGACGCAUGCGAGGGUGGCAAAGAGGAAGGCAACGAAGGGGGCACUUCAUCCCUUGGCAUCAGAGACGAAGCAAUUAAGUGAAGAGCAUUGAGGAGCCACAGGCAUCACCAUGGGAGUCGGGCUCGGCGGCCCUCCGCAGCGCCCAGGCGGCCCGACUUCUCAGAGCCCUCACCACGGUUAUAGACACAUGCCCUGGUCUCAUGCGAUUACGUGUUUAAUGUUUCAGCUCCCAGACAAAGGGUCUGUUUUCAUUUCACCCUGGUGCCUGGCACAGUGUCUGCACACAGUAGGCGUUCGCUGAUGGUUUGCUGAGUGGCUGAACGGGAGAUAGAAACCCACAAGAGGUUUAGAGAAAGGGCUCCGUGAGCUGAAUGCCUAGAAGUCCACGUGGGACUGGAAGGCAUUCCAACUCCAGGGAGGCUUGGACUUGCGUGAGAAAAGGUCCUGCGGAGAGGCUCCGGUCACCUCCCCGCCGGUUUGCAGGGACAACAGAUGGGUGGCGGGCAGGCACGGCACUCCACAGUUUACAGAGGGCGUUCACCCCUAACGCCAGGAACACCG
rnacentral:lncRNA from 1 species